UACGUAGGGGGCGAGCGUUAUCCGGAGUUACUGGGCGUAAAGGGCAUGCAGGCGGUCGGACGCGUUUCGGGUGACAGCGGGUGGCUUAACUACCCGAGUGGUCGAAAGACGGUUUGACUUGAGGACGCGAGAGGGACACGGAAUUCCGGGUGGAGUGGUGAAAUGCGUAGAGAUCCGGAGGAACACCGAAGGCGAAGGCAGUGUCCUGGCGCGUAACUGACGCUGAGGUGCGAAAGCCAGGGGAGCGAACGGG
rnacentral:rRNA from 1 species